rnacentral:rRNA from 1 species
AUUGAACGCUGGCGGCAGGCCUAACACAUGCAAGUCGAGCGGAUGAAGGGAGCUUGCUCCUGGAUUCAGCGGCGGACGGGUGAGUAAUGCCUAGGAAUCUGCCUGGUAGUGGGGGAUAACGUCCGGAAACGGGCGCUAAUACCGCAUACGUCCUGAGGGAGAAAGUGGGGGAUCUUCGGACCUCACGCUAUCAUAUGAGCCUAGGUCGGAUUAGCUAGUUGGUGGGGUAAAGGCCUACCAAGGCGACGAUCCGUAACUGGUCUGAGAGGAUGAUCAGUCACACUGGAACUGAGACACGGUCCAGACUCCUACGGGAGGCAGCAGUGGGGAAUAUUGGACAAUGGGCGAAAGCCUGAUCCAGCCAUGCCGCGUGUGUGAAGAAGGUCUUCGGAUUGUAAAGCACUUUAAGUUGGGAGGAAGGGCAGUAAGUUAAUACCUUGCUGUUUUGACGUUACCAACAGAAUAAGCACCGGCUAACUUCGUG